AAUGAACGUUGGCGGCAUGGAUUAGGCAUGCAAGUCGAGCGAGAAGUGUAGCAAUACACGGAAAGCGGCGGAAGGGAGAGUAAUACGUGGGAAUCUGCCCUUAGACCUGGGAUAGCAGCGGGAAACUGCUGGUAAUACCAGAUAAUGUCUAUGGACCAAAGGUGUGAUUCCGUCUAGGGAUGAGCCCACGUCCUAUUAGCUAGUUGGUAGGGUAAUGGCCUACCAAGGCGAUGAUGGGUAGCGGGUGUGAGAGCAUGACCCGCCUCACUGGGACUGAGACACUGCCCAGACGCCUACGGGUGGCUGCAGUCGAGAAUCUUCGGCAAUGGGCGCAAGCCUGACCGAGCGAUGCCGCGUGCGGGAUGAAGGCCUUCGGGUUGUAAACCGCUGUCGAGGGGGAGCAACCUCCAUAGAGUUAUCUUUAUGGAUUGAGUGAUCCCUGGAGGAAGGACGGGCUAAGUUCGUGCCAGCCGCCGCCGUAAAAC
rnacentral:rRNA from 1 species